UGUGGAAUAUUGGACAAUGGGGGGAACCCUGAUCCAGCCAUGCCGCGUGUGUGAAGAAGGCCUUAUGGUUGUAAAGCACUUUAAGCGAGGAGGAGGGUACUGGUAUUAAUACUACCAGGUACUGGACGUUACUCGCAGAAUAAGCACCGGCUAACCCUGUGCCAGCAGCCGCGGUAAUACAGAGGGUGCGAGCGUUAAUCGGAUUUACUGGGCGUAAAGCGUGCGUAGGCGGCUAAUUGAGUCGGAUGUGAAAUCCCCGAGCUUAACUUGGGAAUUGCAUUCGAUACUGGUUAGCUAGAGUGUGGGAGAGGAUGGUAGAAUUCCAGGUGUAGCGGUGAAAUGCGUAGAGAUCUGGAGGAAUACCGAUGGCGAAGGCAGCCAUCUGGCCUAACACUGACGCUGAGGUACGAAAGCAUGGGGAGCAAACAGG
rnacentral:rRNA from 1 species